UUCGUGCUUUUUAUUCCUAACUAAGAAUGAUCUUAAUCAGAGCUAGUUUUUUGUUUUAAAAUGAAUUCUCCGCUUUUGAGAAAUAUUUAUUUUGUUAUCCAAUUUUUCACGGCUUACAAUUGUUUGCCUUUGGUUUUAUUUUAUACAUUUACUUUAAAGUAACGGUAACUGUUCAUUUCAUUAUCAUUUCUUUUCGUUUUCUUUCGUUUCGUUCCGCUUUUAUUCCGUUUCGCACUUUAAGGUACCCCUCUUUUCGCCAGUUUUCUGUUUUUGAUAUCUUAAUCAAAAAUUAAAAAGUCAAACUUUAAAGCGAAAUAAUCAAAACUGCACGUUAAGUUUAGUACUUUUAAGUUUGAUCAAAUAUCUAAACUAUUAAAUUUAAAAAUGAUAUUUAGAAUUUAAUAAUUUUAAUCAUUUAGUGAAAAUUUCAAAAACAUUUAAAAA
rnacentral:lncRNA from 1 species